AUACGAAGGGGGCUAGCGUUGCUCGGAAUCACUGGGCGUAAAGGGCGCGUAGGCGGACUCUUAAGUCGGGGGUGAAAGCCCAGGGCUCAACCCUGGAAUAGCCUUCGAUACUGAGAGUCUUGAGCUCGGAAGAGGUUGGUGGAAUUGCGAGUGUAGAGGUGAAAUUCGUAGAUAUUCGCAAGAACACCAGUGGCGAAGGCGGCCAACUGGUCCGAUACUGACGCUGAGGCGCGAAAGCGUGGGGAGC
rnacentral:rRNA from 1 species